rnacentral:snRNA from 1 species
AUGCUCACUUCAGCAGCACAUAUACUAAAAUUGGAACAAUCCAGAGAAAAUUAGCAUAGCCCCUGCACAAAAAUGAUACACAAAUUCAUGAAGUAUUUCAUAUUUUC